CUCAGAUUGAACGCUGGCGGCAGGCCUAACACAUGCAAGUCGAACGGUAGCACAGAGGAGCUUGCUCCUUGGGUGACGAGUGGCGGACGGGUGAGUAAUGUCUGGGAAACUGCCCGAUGGAGGGGGAUAACUACUGGAAACGGUAGCUAAUACCGCAUAACGUCGCAAGACCAAAGAGGGGGACCUUCGGGCCUCUUGCCAUCGGAUGUGCCCAGAUGGGAUUAGCUAGUAGGUGGGGUAACGGCUCACCUAGGCGACGAUCCCUAGCUGGUCUGAGAGGAUGACCAGCCACACUGGAACUGAGACACGGUCCAGACUCCUACGGGAGGCAGCAGUGGGGAAUAUUGCACAAUGGGCGCAAGCCUGAUGCAGCCAUGCCGCGUGUAUGAAGAAGGCCUUCGGGUUGUAAAGUACUUUCAGCGAGGAGGAAGGCGAUGAGGUUAAUAACCUCAGCAAUGACGUACUCGCAGAAGAAGCACCGGC
rnacentral:rRNA from 1 species